rnacentral:rRNA from 1 species
GGCGGCAGGCUUAACACAUGCAAGUCGAGCGGGCGUAGCAAUACGUCAGCGGCAGACGGGUGAGUAACGCGUGGGAACGUACCUUUUGGUUCGGAACAACACAGGGAAACUUGUGCUAAUACCGGAUAAGCCCUUACGGGGAAAGAUUUAUCGCCGAAAGAUCGGCCCGCGUCUGAUUAGCUAGUUGGUGUGGUAACGGCGCACCAAGGCGACGAUCAGUAGCUGGUCUGAGAGGAUGAUCAGCCACAUUGGGACUGAGACACGGCCCAAACUCCUACGGGAGGCAGCAGUGGGGAAUAUUGGACAAUGGGCGCAAGCCUGAUCCAGCCAUGCCGCGUGAGUGAUGAAGGCCCUAGGGUUGUAAAGCUCUUUUGUGCGGGAAGAUAAUGACGGUACCGCAAGAAUAAGCCCCGGCUAACUUCGUGCCAGCAGCCGCGGUAAUACGAAGGGGGCUAGCGUUGCUCGGAAUCACUGGGCGUAAAGGGUGCGUAGGCGGGUCUUUAAGUCAGGGGUGAAAUCCUGGAGCUCAACUCCAGAACUGCCUUUGAUACUGAGGAUCUUGA